rnacentral:rRNA from 1 species
GACGAACGCUGGCGGCGUGCCUAAUACAUGCAAGUAGGACGCAGUUGCGAACGGGUGAGUAACGCGUAUGUAACUGCCUAUUAGAGGGGGAUAACUAUUGGAAACGAUAGCUAAUACCGCAUACUAGUAGAUGGACCUGCGUUGUAUUAGCUAGUAGGUAGGGUAAGGGCCUACCUAGGCAACGAUACAUAGCCGAGCUGCAGGGGUGAUCGGCCACACUGGGACUGAGAAACGGCCCAGACUUCUACGGGAGCGAGAAGGAGGGAAUCUUCGGCAAUGGGGGGAACCCUGACCGAGCAGAGCCGGGUGAGUGAAGAAGGUGUUCGGAUCGUAAAGCUCUGGUGUUAAGGAAGCGGUACUUGACCAGAAAGGGACGGCUAACUACGUGCCAGCAGCCGCGGUAAUUC